AAAGGAAAUGAGAUGUUAGGAAUUUCUCUGGAAGGGAAAGAAAGCAAAAUAGAAAACAGCACUGCUGAAUACAAGUCCAUUUUGCCUCCACAGAUCUGUGCUUGUAGUCCUGCCAUCUCUAAAAGGAUACAGAAUGAUACAAAGAAGGGCAACUAAGAUGAGCAGAAAUAUGGAACGGCUUCUCUUCAUUAUGAAGAGAGACUAAAUAAGCUAAGACUCUUCAGUCUGAAAAACCAGAUGGUUGAGAGGGAGUACGAUAAAGGUUUAUAAAACUGUGAUAGUACAAAGAAGAUUGUAAGUUAUUAUGUCUUAGUUUUCAUAAUCUAAGAAUGAAAGAGAAGUACAUGAAGCUGUAGAGCAAAAAUUUUUUAAAUAACCAAAAAGGUACUUUUUUCAGAUGACUCAUAAUUACUCUGUGGAGUUCCUUUUCCAGCAAAGUUGUGGGUGCCAACUUGGAAACUUGUACCGCAGUACUGAAUAUAAAGAUGAGCUCACUGACAAGGGUUUACAAAUAUUACAGAGCUCACCAUUCAAAGCAAUGAACGAGUGGAAGACAUGAGGAGAAGGCAAAGAUCCUGUUCUGCACAAAAACCAAGACGAUCCCCUUGGUCUUGGAAAGCCUGGAAGACAACGGCUAGGCGAGAAGGGAAGACUGCAUCAGGGAAGGAAUCCUCAGUGUUUGGCCCAUUCUUGCACUCUCUCCCUACCCCACCUCUUCUGGCCCCUAACAGACAGCCCACCAGACCAGGUGAACUCUGGAGCUGGCCAUCAUUCUAUUCUACAGACUGAUAGGAAAAGAGAAGAGGGCAACCACAACAGUAAAAUGUAGCAUUUAUUUCCCAGUGCCUUACUGGUGCAACAGCUGGAAGAAGAUAUUCUAGAACUGAAAAGCAAUGAAGCAUUUUCAGAGAAAGGAGUGCAGAGUUUAAAGUCCAUUGGCUGCCAGGACCCAUGGCCAGGAAGAAGCCCCUGCAAGGACAGAGCCUGAGUGCUUGUUUUAAGAAGUGUACAUGCGGAUCUCGUGCCAACUCGGCCCUGGCACUUCCAUGGGGCAGAGGGGUGAUCUUCAGGAGCCUGAGGCAUGGACUUCAAAAGCCUGGAAGGAUGAUCUGCUUACCCCCAAAUUGCUCCUGCUAAGGGACCUCUGCCCCCACUGCAGCACGGCACGGGGAUGUGCAGAGCUGGGAGAGCGCUCACGGACGUGACAGAGCCAGGAAACGAGUUAAAACGCCUGGCGUCGGCUUGUGUGACUCGUCUGAGAUCCUUUCUCGACGUAAAACCUGCCAGACGUUUGCUCAUGUUAUUUGUGGAUGUAUGAUCUUAUAUACACAGAAUACACUUACCGUGUUUCAUGCAUUUAUUUGAAAAAUAUUCCAUAUAUUUCAUAUAUUUGGUGCAAUUCUAGAUCAAAAACCCUGGAUUGUGAUUGGUAUUCAUUUUCAAAACAUUCUAUUAAAUUGAGGUUCAGUAACGAUUGGCAGCAUUCCUUUUAAUCAAUUUAAAGUUAUUGUGAAUUCACCUCCGCACAAAAUAAAUACCUAAAUUAGAUGAUUGGAACACAUUAAUUAUUUUGACUAGUUUUCAGAAUAUUAUUUAAAGAAAGAAUAAAAAUGGGAACCUUAAAGAAUAUUUUGAAAAUGAUGCUUUUAGUUUGUACAUUUUAUGAUGAAAAAAAAAAAGAUACUGCACAGCUGCAGAUAAUCUUCAUUUCAACAGAGAGAUAGUGAGUGAAGGUAGCUGAGGUCUUGGCCCUCUACAUGAUCUGCAUUACUGUUAAGUCUCUCCUCAAAAGUCAAUGAUAUUCAAGGUAAGUUCAUUCUUCAUGAAUCUCCAGUAGGAUGGAGGUGGAUGAAUAGCUCAUUUGCAAGUAUUUAAAAAUGAUCUUUCAGAAUUGCAAUGAAUUACUUAGUAUUUUUGUUCCCACAGUGGCUUAUUAUCAAUGCUAUCAAUGUACAACUGCACUGAGAAUUUUCCUAUUUAUACAAGCGUUCCAAACUUUCAUUAUAAAGUGAAAAAAGUCAUCAAAGUUAACAAAUGAUCCACACUAAAUCUUACCUUUUGAAGGUCCAUCCAAAUAAGAAAUAGUAGUGUUUUAAUCUUUAUUAAUUAAAUUAAACCCAUGCUAAAACCUAGUAUGGACAUUUGCUCCAGUUUAUGUGCAUUUUAUUUCAGUUUAUUUUAUGUUGGCUUCUAUUCAAUUUAAGCUCAAUGAGCCAUUCUUACAUGCAUUUAAGAGUACCUGCAUAAGGGUGAGCACGAGUUUAAUUAUAGCCAUCUAAUUAAGCCAGCAUUUUCACUGUCCAUUAGCUUUUUCUUACAUCUGCAUUUUGAGCCUUAAGUUUUUGACACUAGGAGCCUAAAGUUAAAGUCUCGAAUGCUUUGUCUGAAGCGAGCUGCUCAGUGCUGCACAUUUGCAAUUCAUGGCCUAAGCCAUUCAUUAUCCCCUCGCAGGCAAUGAGAUCUGCAAAUGUCUCAUCACCUUUGAAAAAGUGGCCAUUAUUUAGAAGUGUAAAUGAAGAUGCCAGAGGCUAACUUCAAGUCUUGCCUGAAACGAAGGCCUACAUCUUAAAUCUCCUGACGGUAAAGAUGAGUUGGACAUGUCGUAACAGGGAAAUACUACAUUUACUCUGAAAAUAACAUAUUACGUGUAUUAGAGCUGCUUUUUCUUCCAUAUUCAUCGUAUUCUCUUUUUCUUUUCUAGUUUCUUCCUAAUCCACGUUCUCCUUAAUUGUCCCUCCCUGGCUGAAAGCUGAAUCACCGAAAUUCCUGCUCAUUUGCUUCCUGCCAAAAUGAGCCAGUAUUUCCAAAGGCAGCACUUCCUUCCAGUGACUAAUAUAUUAAAAUACAGAUUUGCUUUG